rnacentral:rRNA from 1 species
AUUGAACGCUGGCGGCAGGCCUAACACAUGCAAGUCGAGCGGAUGAAGGGAGCUUGCUCCUGGCUUCAGCGGCGGACGGGUGAGUAAUGCCUAGGAAUCUGCCUGGUAGUGGGGGAUAACGUCCGGAAACGGGCGCUAAUACCGCAUACGUCCUGAGGGAGAAAGUGGGGGAUCUUCGGACCUCACGCUAUCAGAUGAGCCUAGGUCGGAUUAGCUAGUUGGUGGGGUAAAGGCCUACCAAGGCGACGAUCCGUAACUGGUCUGAGAGGAUGAUCAGUCACACUGGAACUGAGACACGGUCCAGACUCCUACGGGAGGCAGCAGUGGGGAAUAUUGGACAAUGGGCGAAAGCCUGAUCCAGCCACGCCGCGUGUGUGAAGAAGGUCUUCGGAUUGUAAAGCACUUUAAGUUGGGAGGAAGGGCAGUAAGUUAAUACCUUGCUGUUUUGACGUUACCAACAGAAUAAGCACCGGCUAACUUCGUG